CCCCAGCUUGCCCUCCUGCCGAACUCCUGCUCCUCCCUCAAGACACACCUCAGAUGUCCCGCUUUUAGAGCAGGGAAUGGUCUGGACAAGCUGAUAAUGGCGUGGCACAUGCGGUGAGCUCUGGCUUUCGAUAAAAGCAAGCCCAGUCACCUGCCUGCGGUGACCUUCGAUGUUGGGAGGCUCCAGGCAGAACCUCACUUCACUUCACCUGGACCCCACUGCCCUCCUCACAGUGGGGGAGCUGGAGACUUACAGCCUCACAGCCUCACAGCCAGUGAGAGGACAGCUGGAGCAGCAGACAGAUCGCGCUCCUACUGCUAAUCCUCCCUCUACAGACAGACCUCAGCCACUGAGAGCAGAAGGGCGGGGUGGAGGAGGGGGCAGGAGCGCAGACAGUUAAAUAAAGGCUCAGAGGAAGAAGAUCAGCUCCAGAGAAAAGGGCACAAAGAGCAAAAAAUAAAUGGCAAAUUACCGGGUAGCCAUCUCGUCCUGA